UUAAUCAUACUCAUGGCAUUCAUGAUUUUUGCUUACUAAGCAUUGGCUUAUCUUAUUCGUGCAUUGUAGGUGAGAACAAAACUACAUAGAAGGCACAGCUAGCUGUGGAGCUUUUAUGGAAUUUCAGUGUUCGAUGUAUAUGGAUGACAACAUGUAGGAUUAUUUUGUGGACUUCAGUUGUAUUACGUUUUGGGAAUCCUGUAUGGCAUACGUAUGACUUUUGAAAGGACAUGUAGAUAUUCUUAUAUUCUCGAAAUAAACAUGUUG
rnacentral:lncRNA from 1 species